rnacentral:snoRNA from 1 species
AUGGAAGUGAUGAUUAUUUUCCCAGAUGAUCGAUGCUGAACAAACUGAGCAUUUUUAUUUCUCUUUUUUCUUUAUUAAAAGAGAAUUUAAGCCAGGAAACUGAUCCAU